CAUUGAGUUUAAAUACCAGAGGAACCUUGCUUAAAAUCCCAGCCUGACUGUAAAAUCACAAAGGGCCCUUGAGAAAGGUCCUUAUUCCCCUACUUGCUCCCGGUGUAGUGAGCGCAUUGUAUGGCAGCACCCUCAAAUCAGGGUGAAUGUGAGGCAUUAUUGUAAAGCGCUUUGAGCAUCUGAUGCAGAUGGAAAAGCGCUAUGUAAAUGCAGUCCAUUUACCAUUUAGCUCUGC